CCCCUCUCAGGGUCACUCCUGGAGAGUUUCCUGUACUCUACCAGUCUCAACUACAGGAGGGAGAGUCAAGCAAAGGCAUACCCUUUCCAUUCCUAGCUUGGGCAAUGGCUAGCGAGUGGAAGGCAAUCUCUGCUACAAGU
rfam:Ornithorhynchus anatinus chromosome X1, whole genome shotgun sequence.